GGACCCUGGCCAUCUCUCUGCCAAGGACCGUGUGGUGGCUGCAGGCGCAUCAGCCACGCCACGUGAAAAGCUGUCACACACAGGCGUCCUCCCAUUAUGUGGCUCCAGGAUCGACCUCUACUACACCCACCUGAAGACCGCCAAUGAUUAUGAUGAUGAUGAUGAGGGCAGCAAAGACGAGCUCCAGACUGAAGAGCCAGUAGCAGCAGCAGCUGAGUCAGAAUCAGAUGUGGAAACUGAGCACCCAGAAAAAAAACCCCGUAGACACGGGGAGAACAUACAAACUCCACGUUGAGGACGACCUGGGAUUACCCCCAAGAUUGGA